rfam:Triticum aestivum genome assembly, contig: Triticum_aestivum_CS42_TGACv1_scaffold_132921_2BL
UAAGUACUCCCUCCGUCCGGAAAUACUUGUCAUCAAAAUGGAUAAAAGAGGAUGUAUUUUAGUUCUUGAUACAUCCUCUUUUAUCCAUUUUGAUGACAAGUAUAUACAUCCUCUUUUAUCCAUUUUGAUGACAAGUAUUUCCGGACGGAGGGAGUACACU